UGUUGGAGGGAUGAAGCUUCCAUUUCUUUCUUUGGGGAGCAUUGCUGGGACUUCAUCUGGAAGUGUCUCUUCUCCUCAUCAGCAGAGACAAGUGGACCAACAACAUGUGAAGGCUCGGGAGCAGCUGGAGGAACGGGCUAACUUCCUGGCACAGCUCCUGCAGGAAGAGCAGCGUCAGAAGGCUGCUCUGUUAGCCAGGGUGUGCCAGCUGCAGAGAGAGCUGAGCCAAAAGGAGCAGCUGAGGCAGGAGCUGACUGAGGAGCGGGAGAAUGGGCAGAUGGACGCAGGAUCCCCCAUCAAAGGUGCCGCAGCAGCAGCAUCCUGCCAAGAGGCCUCCUGUCUGCAGCCUGGAAACCGGAGCAUGAGCAGUUCACGCGGCUCAAGCCAGGAGAGAGAGAAGCAGCUCCUGAAGCU